rnacentral:rRNA from 1 species
GACGAACGCUGGCGGCGUGCUUAACACAUGCAAGUCGAACGGAAAGGCCCUGCUUUUGUGGGGUGCUCGAGUGGCGAACGGGUGAGUAACACGUGAGUAACCUGCCCUUGACUUUGGGAUAACUUCAGGAAACUGGGGCUAAUACCGGAUAGGAGCUCCUGCUGCAUGGUGGGGGUUGGAAAGUUUCGGCGGUUGGGGAUGGACUCGCGGCUUAUCAGCUUGUUGGUGGGGUAGUGGCUUACCAAGGCUUUGACGGGUAGCCGGCCUGAGAGGGUGACCGGCCACAUUGGGACUGAGAGACGGCCCAGACUCCUACGGGAGGCAGCAGUGGGGAAUAUUGCACAAUGGGCGGAGGCCUGAUGCAGCAACGCCGCGUGCGGGAUGACGGCCUUCGGGUUGUAAACCGCUUUCGCCUGUGACGAAGCGUGAGUGACGGUAAUGGGUAAAGAAGCACCGGCUAACUACGUG